GGAUUUGAUGGCGAUUUGGCUGUGACAUCUGUCACCCCACUGGUUGCUAGGGUUUAUAGGUGGGUGUCCCCUUCCUCCCUCACCUUUCCAUGUGUGUCCCUCCCAAAGCAGCUCGAAGAGGAUGGCUGUCCCUAGUAGAGACGCACCAAUCUUCGGUCAAGGGCAUACAAGUAGCUGCAAGUGGUGUCUCUACAUCUGUAUGCAAUAAUGUACAACCCUUCUCCUCUUCUUCCUACUUUGCUACCUCUUCUACUGCUAUGUUUAUAACAAAAUGAACCUAUGAAACAACGUAAAAGCUUUAAAAAAAAAAAAUUGGGUAACAAGCUUAAAAAAUACAGAUCCAUCCAGAGUUUAACACUUGGGCCACACU
rnacentral:snRNA from 1 species